ACGUACAACGGACGUUGAGGGCGUGCGAGGGCUGUCGCUGACUUUUUGUCGACGCAAAAGUUGUGCACGCCGGAGCGCGUCCUCUCGCAUAAAAUCCAUCUCACCCUUUUGUGCACCACCGCGUGGGCACCUUUUGGGAUCGAACCGAUCCUGGAGGGGGCUUGCGUUUUCACACAAACCCCUUUUAAAAAGUGUAGAAUGACCCCAUUUUGCGAUGACACGCAAUCAAUACAACUUUCAACAACGGAUCUCUUGGCUCUCGCAUCGAUGAAGAACGCAGCGAAAUGCGAUACGUAAUGUGAAUUGCAGAAUUCAGUGAAUCAUCGAAUCUAUGAACGCACCUUGCGCCCUUGGUAUUCCGAGGGGCACACCCGUUUGAGUGUCGUGAAAUUCUCAACCUUCUCGGUUUUCUUCUGGACACCGAAGGAGGCUUGGACAUUGGAGGCCUUUGCUGGCGUCUCUUAGACCCAGCUCCUCUUAUAUGAAUUAGCGGGGUCCUCUUUGCCGAUCCUUGACAUGUGAUAAGAUGUAUCCAUGACGCGGGGUCCUCUUUGCCGAUCCUUGACAUGUGAUAAGAUGUUUCCAUGACUUGGUUUCUGUUGGUUUCUGGCUCUGUUGCAUUUGGGACCCRCUUCUAACCGUCUCGACGAGACAACGUUUGGGCGUGUCUCUCUUCUCGCGAGACUCUCUCAACCCCCACGAACCCU
rnacentral:rRNA from 1 species